AUACGGAGGAUCCGAGCGUUAUCCGGAUUUAUUGGGUUUAAAGGGUGCGCAGGCGGCCAUUUAAGUCAGCGGUUAAAUCGUGGGGCUCAACCCCAUUCUGCCGUUGAUACUGGGUGGCUUGAUUGCGGUCGAGGUUGGCGGAAUUCGUUGUGUAGCGGUGAAAUGCAUAGAUAUGACGAAGAACACCGAUUGCGUAGGCAGCUGACCAGAUCGCAAAUGAUGCUCAUGCACGAAAGUGCGGGGAUCGAACAGGAUUAGAUACCCUGGUAGUCCGCACAGUAAACGAUGAAUACUUGUUUUCGGCGAUAUAAUGUCGGAGGCAAAGCGAAAGCGAUAAGUAUUCCACCUGGGGAGUACGCCGGCAACGGUGAAACUCAAAGGAAUUGGCGGGG
rnacentral:rRNA from 1 species